rnacentral:rRNA from 1 species
GACGAACGCUGGCGGCGUGCUUAACACAUGCAAGUCGAACGGAAAGGCCCUGCUUUUGUGGGGUGCUCGAGUGGCGAACGGGUGAGUAACACGUGAGUAACCUGCCCUUGACUUUGGGAUAACUUCAUGAAACUGGGGCUAAUACCGGCUAGGAGCUCCUGCUUCAUGGUGGGGGUUGGAAAGUUUCGGCGGUUGGGGAUGGACUCGCGGCUUAUCAGCUUGUUGGUGGGGUAGUGGCUUACCAAGGCUUUGACGGGUAGCCGGCCUGAGAGGGUGACCGGCCAAAUUGGGACUGAGAUACGGCCCAGACUCCUACGGGAGGCAGCAGUGGGGAAUAUUGCACAAUGGGCGGAAGCCUGAUGCAGCAAAGCCGCGUGCGGGAUGACGGCCUUCGGGUUGUAAACCGAUGUCGCCUGUGACGAAGCGUGAGUGACGGUAAUGGGUAAAGAAGCACCGGCUAACUACGUG